GAUGAACGCUGGCGGCGUGCCUAAUACAUGCAAGUCGAGCGAACAGACGAGGAGCUUGCUCCUCUGACGUUAGCGGCGGACGGGUGAGUAACACGUGGAUAACCUACCUAUAAGACUGGGAUAACUUCGGGAAACCGGAGCUAAUACCGGAUAAUAUAUUGAACCGCAUGGUUCAAUAGUGAAAGACGGUUUUGCUGUCACUUAUAGAUGGAUCCGCGCCGCAUUAGCUAGUUGGUAAGGUAACGGCUUACCAAGGCGACGAUGCGUAGCCGACCUGAGAGGGUGAUCGGCCACACUGGAACUGAGACACGGUCCAGACUCCUACGGGAGGCAGCAGUAGGGAAUCUUCCGCAAUGGGCGAAUGCCUGACGGAGCAACGCCGCGUGAGUGAUGAAGGUCUUCGGAUCGUAAAACUCUGUUAUUAGGGAAGAACAAAUGUGUAAGUAACUAUGCACGUCUUGACGGUACCUAAUCAGAAAGCCACGGCUAACUACGUG
rnacentral:rRNA from 1 species